rnacentral:rRNA from 1 species
AUUGAACGCUGGCGGCAGGCCUAACACAUGCAAGUCGAACGGUAACAGAAAGCAGCUUGCUGCUUUGCUGACGAGUGGCGGACGGGUGAGUAAUGUCUGGGAAACUGCCUGAUGGAGGGGGAUAACUACUGGAAACGGUAGCUAAUACCGCAUAACGUCGCAAGACCAAAGAGGGGGACCUUCGGGCCUCUUGCCAUCGGAUGUGCCCAGAUGGGAUUAGCUAAUAGGUGGGGUAACGGCUCACCUAGGCGACGAUCCCUAGCUGGUCUGAGAGGAUGACCAGCCACACUGGAACUGAGACACGGUCCAGACUCCUACGGGAGGCAGCAGUGGGGAAUAUUGCACAAUGGGCGCAAGCCUGAUGCAGCCAUGCCGCGUGUAUGAAGAAGGCCUUCGGGUUGUAAAGUACUUUCAGCGGGGAGGAAGGGAGUAAAGUUAAUACCUUUGCUCAUUGACGUUACCCGCAGAAGAAGCACCGGCUAACUCCGUG